rnacentral:rRNA from 1 species
GACGAACGCUGGCGGCGUGCCUAAUACAUGCAGGUAGAACGCUGAAGAGAGGAGCUUGCUCUUCUUGGAUGAGUUGCGAACGGGUGAGUAACGCGUAGGUAACCUGCCUGGUAGCGGGGGAUAACUAUUGGAAACGAUAGCUAAUACCGCAUGAUAUUAAUUGUCGCAUGAUAAUUAAUUGAAAGAUGCAAUUGCAUCACUACCAGAUGGACCUGCGUUGUAUUAGCUAGUUGGUGAGGUAACGGCUCACCAAGGCGACGAUACAUAGCCGACCUGAGAGGGUGAUCGGCCACACUGGGACUGAGACACGGCCCAGACUCCUACGGGAGGCAGCAGUAGGGAAUCUUCGGCAAUGGGGGGAACCCUGACCGAGCAACGCCGCGUGAGUGAAGAAGGUUUUCGGAUCGUAAAGCUCUGUUGUAAGAGAAGAACGGGUGUGAGAGUGGAAAGUUCACACUGUGACGUAUCUACCAGAAGG